UGCCGCCUAGCUCCAAUCUGGUAGAGCGCUCGCCCGAUAAGCGAGAGGGUCUGGGUUCGAUUCCCAGGGCGGCAACCA
rnacentral:tRNA from 1 species